rnacentral:rRNA from 1 species
UACGAAGGGGGCUAGCGUUGCUCGGAAUUACUGGGCGUAAAGGGCGCGUAGGCGGAUACUUAAGUCGGGGGUGAAAGCCCAGGGCUCAACCCUGGAACAGCCUUCGAUACUGGGUAUCUUGAGUACGGGAGAGGUGUGUGGAACUCCGAGUGUAGAGGUGAAAUUCGUAGAUAUUCGGAAGAACACCAGUGGCGAAGGCGACACACUGGCCCGUUACUGAACGCUGAGGCGCGAAAGCGUGGGGAGCAAACAGG